rnacentral:rRNA from 1 species
CCUACGGGAGGCAGCAGUGGGGAAUAUUGGGCAAUGGGCGCAAGCCUGACCCAGCAACGCCGCGUGAAGGAAGAAGGCUUUCGGGUUGUAAACUUCUUUUGUCAGGGACGAAGCAAGUGACGGUACCUGACGAAUAAGCCACGGCUAACUACGUGCCAGCAGCCGCGGUAAUACGUAGGUGGCAAGCGUUAUCCGGAUUUAUUGGGUGUAAAGGGCGUGUAGGCGGGAAUGCAAGUCAGAUGUGAAAACUAUGGGCUCAACCCAUAGCCUGCAUUUGAAACUGUAUUUCUUGAGUGCUGGAGAGGCAAUCGGAAUUCCGUGUGUAGCGGUGAAAUGCGUAGAUAUACGGAGGAACACCAGUGGCGAAGGCGGAUUGCUGGACAGUAACUGACGCUCAUACACGAAAGCGUGGGGAGCAAACAGGAUUAGAUACCCCUGUAGUC